rnacentral:rRNA from 1 species
AGAGAUGUGUGAUGACGCAUAUCAAUAAGCGGAGGAAAAGAAACUAACAAGGAUUCCCUUAGUAACGGCGAGUGAAGCGGGAAGAGCUCAAAUUUGAAAUCUUCAAGGUUCUACCUUGACGAAUUGUAGUUUAUAGAAGUGUUUUCUGUUAGUAGAGUGGCAAAAGUUCUUUGGAAUAGGACAUCAUAGAGGGUGAGAAUCCCGUAUUUGGUCAUUCCUUCCUAGCUUUGUGAUACACUUUCAACGAGUCGGAUUGUUUGGGAAUGCAGUCCAAAAUGGGUGGUAAAUUUCAUCUAAAGCUAAAUAUUGGCGAGAGACCGAUAGCGAACAAGUACCGUGAGGGAAAGAUGAAAAGAACUUUGAAAAGAGAGUUAAACAGUACGUGAAAUUGUCAAAAGGGAAGCGUUUGACACCAGUGUUGUUUUUCCGAAAAUCAAUUACGAAUGUUUUGUUUUUGAGGAGUUAUGACUUCAUCGGCUUGCUUCCUUUCUUUACUGAAACUUUCUUAAUGCACUUUUCGGUUAACAAGUCAACAUCAAUUUCUUUUGUUGUAAAAGGGUAUGAGGAAGGUGGCUUUCUUUUCGGAGAAAGUGUUUAUAGCCUUGUAGCCUCUGCAAUCGGAGAGAUUGAGGUCUGCAGCGUAGAUCCUUCGGGGUUAGAUACAUUUGUGCUAAGUUAUAGCUUUUCAUAGACAACUUGUUGACUAUGUUUAGUCUUGUAGCUUACUCGCUUAUGCUAUUUUACCUACGCUUAGGAUGUUGAAGAUGUAGCACAUCAU